rnacentral:sRNA from 1 species
GUGAACCUGCGGCUGGAUCAUUAUCGAGCUAAGCAAAAAACUCUAGUGCUUCGGCGCUAUAGUAGUGGCAGGAACUAUGUGCGGUACGUUUGCUUGACGUACGACUGCACGCCACAGUGAACCAACGGCGAUCGGUUGGUGUCUGUCCGGUUCUGAGCAGCUGUAGCCUAAGUCCGUGGCUGCGUUGACGAACCGGGGCACGCAUACGUCCUGCUAUUCGGCGGGGUAGCGGAUGCGAAGACUCAAUGAGCUCCACGCCUGGGAGCUGCCAACCAAACUUUUUUUCAAUGAAUUUUUCUUAACUAAAGACAAAUAUCAGUCUUACCGGUGGAUCACUCGGUUCGUGGAUCGAUGAAGAACGCAGCAAACUGCGAUAAGUAGCGUGAAUUGCAGACGCUUUGAACGUUAAACUUUCGAACGCACAUUGCGCCGUAGGAGUCCUACCCUGCGGCACAUCUGGUUGAGGGUCGUGAUCAAAAACAGCAGGACUAUGGCUGUAAUAGAAAUAGCUGGUGAAUCACGAGUUCGGCCUACCGCCUCUGGUCGAACGUGUUUUGCCAUAAUGCUAGAAGAGGACAAUCGCUCGCAAGAGAGAUUGCCUACCACACGGAUGAUCUAUUAGCUGAUGCGAUAGGUCUCGGUCACCGGGUAUCAUGCUUUUAUAUACUCUGUGGCGUCUGAGACACGGCUAGUGGGCUUCAUACGUGCCUGGUAUUGAGAGUAUUCGCUCUCCCGACCUCAACUCACGUGUGAUUACCCGCUGAACUUAA